UGGGCGAAGCCUGAUGCAGCGACGCCGCGUGGGGGAUGACGGCCUUCGGGUUGUAAACCCCUUUCAGUAGGGAAGAAGCGAGAGUGACGGUACCUGCAGAAGAAGCGCCGGCUAACUACGUGCCAGCAGCCGCGGUAAUACGUAGGGCGCAAGCGUUGUCCGGAAUUAUUGGGCGUAAAGAGCUUGUAGGUGGCUUGUCGCGUCUGCCGUGAAAACCCGAGGCUCAACCUCGGGCGUGCGGUGGGUACGGGCAGGCUAGAGUGUGGUAGGGGAGACUGGAACUCCUGGUGUAGCGGUGAAAUGCGCAGAUAUCAGGAAGAACACCGAUGGCGAAGGCAGGUCUCUGGGCCAUUACUGACACUGAGAAGCGAAAGCAUGGGUAGCGAACAGGAUUAGAUACCCUGGUAGUCCAUGCCGUAAACGUUGGGCACUAGGUGUGGGGGACAUUCCACGUUUUCCGCGCCGUAGCUAACGCAUUAAGUGCCCCGCCUGGGGAGUACGGCCGCAAGGCUAAAACUCAAAGGAAUUGACGGGGGCCCGCACAAGCGGCGGAGCAUGCUGAUUAAUUCGAUGCAACGCGAAGAACCUUACCAAGGCUUGACAUGCACUGGACGGCUGCAGAGAUGUGGCUUUCUUUGGACUGGUGCACAGGUGGUGCAUGGUUGUCGUCAGCUCGUGUCGUGAGAUGUUGGGUUAAGUCCCGCAACGAGCGCAACCCUCGUUCUAUGUUGCCAGCACGUGAUGGUGGGGACUCAUAGGAGACUGCCGGGGUCAACUCGGAGGAAGGUGGGGACGACGUCAAAUCAUCAUGCCCCUUA
rnacentral:rRNA from 1 species